CAGCAGCCACGGUAAUACAGAGACUGCAAGCGUUAUUCGGAUUCACUGGGCGUAAAGGGUGCGCAGGCGGCCAUGUGUGUGAGGCGUGAAAGCCCGAUGCUUAACAUCGGAAUUGCACCUCAAACUACAUGGCUAGAGCAUUGGAGAGGGUAGCAGAAUUCAUGGUGUAGCAGUGAAAUGCGUAGAUAUCAUGAGGAAUACCAGAGGCGAAGGCGGCUACCUGGACAAUUGCUGACGCUCAGGCACGAAAGCGUGGGGAGCAAAAGGGAUUAGAUACCCCAGUAGUCCUGUCUCUUAUACA
rnacentral:rRNA from 1 species